AUGAACGCUGGCGGCGUGCUUAACACAUGCAAGUCGAACGAAGCAUUUAAGACAGAUUCCUUCGGUUUGAAGUCUUUUAUGACUGAGUGGCGGACGGGUGAGUAACGCGUGGGUAACCUGCCUCAUACAGGGGGAUAGCAGCUGGAAACGGCUGGUAAUACCGCAUAAGCGCACAGUACCACAUGGUACAGUGUGAAAAACUCCGGUGGUAUGAGAUGGACCCGCGUCUGAUUAGCUAGUUGGCGGGGUAACGGCCCACCAAGGCGACGAUCAGUAGCCGACCUGAGAGGGUGACCGGCCACAUUGGGACUGAGACACGGCCCAGACUCCUACGGGAGGCAGCAGUGGGGAAUAUUGCACAAUGGAGGAAACUCUGAUGCAGCGACGCCGCGUGAGUGAAGAAGUAGUUCGCUAUGUAAAGCUCUAUCAGCAGGGAAGAUAGUGACGGUACCUGACUAAGAAGCUCCGGCUAAAUACGUG
rnacentral:rRNA from 1 species